rnacentral:rRNA from 1 species
UACGAAGGGGGCUAUCGUUGUUCGGAUUUACUGGGCGUAAAGCGCGUGUAGGCGGGUUUGUAAGUUGGGGGUGAAAGCCCAGAGCUCAACUCUGGAAUUGCCUUCAAGACUGCAAGCCUGGACCCAAGGAGAGGCAAGUGGAAUUGCGAGUGUAGAGGUGAAAUUCGUAGAUAUUCGCAGGAACACCAGUGGCGAAGGCGACUUGCUGGACUUGUGGUGACGCUGAGACGCGAAAGCGUGGGGAGAAAACAGG